CCGUCUUCCAACGCUGUGCUGCUUGUCCGGUUUCGUUCGUUACACUACCCUCUUUAAGCCACUGUAGUUUUACAUUGUUGAACUACAGGGUGGUCCAGAUAGCAGCCACGACAUUUAAGAUAAAUCGUAAUACGUCGGCUUUGUAAGGUACGACAAAGUUACCACGUAAGUUAGACUAGGUGGUGCAUUUAAUUUGUAAAAGCAUCAAGGAAAAGACUUGUUGAAAUAAGGGUUAUAAUGCAGGCUAUCUGGUGAACGGCCAUACUUAUAAACCCGGAUACAAGGGGGGAAAAGGGGGGACAAACAAGGAUUUUGAGACGUAAUUCAAUGUGCAUGUUUUGUUUUACAGAGACACGAGAUGAGCUGAUUGCAGCCUUGAAGAAGAAGCACAUGGCCAUUCCAUGAUUUUGAACUCAAAGUUGGAGGGGACAAUGUCCCACCUGGCGUUGUUGGGCCAGCUCCUCCAGCUUGCCCAGCAGCAGUUCCGGCAUCUGGUGCUCCUGCUUCAGUUGACGUGCGAGCUGGUGUGGCUCGCGCUCCACUCGUACCGGCCGCUGAUGCUGCUGCUCCAGCAGCGGACCUUGUGGCAGGCCCACCGGAGGCACCUCCCGAGUGUGUGCUAGUGCUUGGAGAGGUCGAUGGCGAGUGCAAAAGAAGGAGCUGUCAUCAUGGGAGCCCGGGGGAAUUCCAUGUUCAUCAGAGAGGCGACCGAGCUGGUCUUCGGCCGGGAGAACCUGAACGGCCGAAGUAUGACUGGGGUGCCAUGCCGGCGCUUUAAGGGCGCCGUGGCACAGAGGGCGCUGACUCCAGCCAAGUUGGCAGCAGCCCGGAAUGCCUUCAACAAGUACAUUCGGAAGCAUCCUCGAGAGGCCUCUCCAAAGAAGAGGACAGCUCAGAUUAACCACUAUGUGCCGAGCUGCUGCAGGAUAUUAACAAGAAGCUUGACUUCUAAGCUUGUUUAGAGGUUAAGCAUCUUGUUGAUGUUCUGCAGAAAGCCAGUUCGCUUUCAUCUUGACUCACAGUGCGAC